rnacentral:antisense_RNA from 1 species
GCCAGUUAUCCAGGCAGUGACUUUCAGUACAGCUACAGUCACCUCUGGACACCUGCAGAGACUUUAAAAAUUUCCAGAAGGUCAGGAAUUUUUGGAGACCUUUCUCAUGGCUACGUUGCCUGCAAAGGUGAAUUAAUAAGCUUCUGAACUGACUUAGAAAAUGUUUCAGAGACUCUGGUGGGCAGAUAGACCCUCUCCUGCCACUCCGGAUAGAUGUAUCUGCGUCACACACACCUGAUUUAACAACAUCUUAUUAUCUCAG